rnacentral:ncRNA from 1 species
CGUCCCGGUCGCCCGGGACAUCUUCCAGGGAAAGAACGAAGGAGGUAAGGCACCUUCCCCACCCACCCCUACCUACCCGUCACUCACACGAGUGGAUUGUCCAACUGAGGUCAGGGUUCGGAUGGUUGGGCGGCAUAUGCUCGCACCGAGAGCGAAGCCAACCACCGCAGACAUGCGGCGGCCCCCAGCCAGGACUACCGAUCCUUGGAGGGGGCCUGACCACUCAGGAAUGGACGUUCCCA